UCUAACUCCUGUGUGUGUAAUAAUGUUUUUCUCUCAGCUGAGGCUUACUUCUCCAGCCUAUUGUUUGAGACAACAGAUAUAAGUUGCGAUGGGAGAGGAGCGUCGGAUUUGGUGUGUAUCCCCCAUUUCCAAUUAUAGAUGGAUCAUUACAGACAGCGGAGUCCUGAGAAGCCAGACAUCUGCUCCUCACAUGAAUGCACUCACCUCCUAGAGACCCGGCUGCCAUCAUGCUCUGGAAGCUCGUGGAGAAUGUCAAGUACGAAGAUAUCUAUGAGAUGUUAGUGCACACCUAUUCGUCCAUGGACCGGCACGAUGGCGUCCCGAGUCACAGCUCACGGCUCUCCCAGCUGGGCUCGGUGUCCCAAGGACCUUACUCCAGCGCUCCGCCGCUGUCCCACACGCCGUCGUCAGAUUUCCAGCCACCCUACUUUCCGCCCCCCUACCAGCCGCUCCCUUACCACCAGAGCCAGGACCCCUACUCCCACGUCAACGACCCCUACUCCCUGAACCCCCUGCACCAGCCCCAGCAGCACCCCUGGGGGCAACGACAGCGGCAAGAAGUGGGUUCAGAAGCCGGCUCUCUCCUGCCCCAGCCUCGGGCCGCCCUGCCCCAGCUCUCGGGCCUCGACCCCCGGAGGGACUACCACUCGGUCCGCCGGCCGGACGUGCUCCUGCACUCAGCACACCACGGCCUGGACGCGGGCAUGGGUGACAGCCUCUCGCUGCACGGUCUCGGCCACCCUGGGAUGGAAGAUGUCCAGUCAGUUGAAGAUGCCAAUAACAGCGGCAUGAAUCUAUUGGACCAGUCUGUCAUAAAAAAAGUUCCGGUUCCUCCCAAAUCUGUGACUUCUCUGAUGAUGAAUAAGGAUGGCUUCCUGGGAGGCAUGUCUGUCAACACCGGUGAGGUGUUUUGCUCGGUCCCCGGCCGUUUGUCUCUGCUCAGUUCAACUUCAAAAUACAAAGUAACUGUGGGGGAAGUUCAGAGACGGCUGUCGCCCCCCGAAUGCCUCAAUGCGUCUCUCCUCGGCGGCGUCCUCAGAAGAGCCAAAUCGAAAAAUGGGGGGAGAUCUUUGCGAGAAAGGCUAGAAAAAAUCGGUUUGAAUUUACCCGCGGGCAGGCGCAAGGCAGCAAAUGUCACGUUACUCACCUCCCUGGUGGAAGGAGAGGCUGUUCACUUAGCUCGGGAUUUUGGGUACAUUUGCGAAACGGAGUUUCCCGCCAAAGCUGUUUCUGAGUAUUUGAACCGGCAGCACACGGACCCCAGUGACCUGCACUCCCGGAAGAAUAUGCUGCUGGCCACCAAGCAACUUUGUAAAGAAUUUACAGAUCUGCUCGCUCAGGACCGGACGCCGAUCGGAAACAGCCGGCCCAGCCCCAUCCUGGAGCCGGGGAUCCAGAGCUGCCUCACGCACUUCAGCCUCAUCACGCACGGCUUCGGCGCCCCCGCCAUUUGCGCCGCGCUCACGGCCCUGCAGAACUAUCUCACCGAGGCGCUCAAAGGCAUGGACAAGAUGUUCUUGAACAACACCACCACUAACAGGCACACGUCUGGGGAAGGCCCAGGUAGUAAAACUGGCGACAAGGAGGAGAAACACAGGAAAUGAAAAAUUUAAAAAAAAGGAAAAAUGUUUUAAAUACAAAAGGAAAACAGAAAAAAAUUUUAAUUUUAGCUCUAAAAAUAUUGGAUUGGCUUUGGAAGAAUUAUAUUAGGUAGAAUACACAUACAAUCAAAGUUAAAAAAAAACAAAGCUAAAUAACUUAAAAAAAAAAAAAACUUGAGGCGUACCACGGAGCAACAGUAUCGGUUCUCAGUGUCUAUUUCAAGAUACACUUGGAGACAACCGUCCGGAUUUUCCACUUCGGUUCUUUCGAGCUUAGUAAUACUGAUAAUAAAAAGAAAACCAUGAUUUUUUUUUCCCUUUGGAAAAUAAACAUAAGACUAAACGUGAGAAAACUCUAACUUAUUGGAAGAAAAUCGGAGAAACCGUGUCGGUGUCAGUGCUUUGAGAGCUGGUUGACUGAGACGCACGAACUUUUUAAAUUUUUAAUAUAUUUUUAGGAAACUCUCUGGCAGUCCCCGCCCUUCCACCUCACCUCGCCCCUCUCCCAGCCACCCUUUUUCUACGUUGCCCUCCCUCCCUCCGGCUGUCACGGGAAUCUUCCGGGAUGAAAAGGCGUGUGGUUAGCCCUCUGGUGCGCUGUUGUGGUCCCCUUGGUGACCCCGCCCCCGCCCCGCCCUGUGUCCUUAACUCAAGGGGGCCCAACUCCGGGCCGUUUGCUUAAUUAGGGAGGGCGAGGGCGGGCGGGGCGGGAGGCCCGCGGGGACGCAGGCGGUGGCUGCAGCUCUCGGGCCGGCUGGCCGAGGAGAGGCUCCCGCGGCCCGGCCGAGGAAAAUCCGGACCAAUAAGUUGAUUCAGACUCCUCAUCAGUUCUUUUCCGAAACGUUACUAGUUCCCAGCCUUGCCAGCAUCUGCCUACAGAGCAUCUUGCAUUUGUUAUCAUAUGUGUCAUCUACCAAUUUUAAGAACAAUAGUAAAACCCAAACACAAUAUGAAUACGUUGAUUAGUAUGUAAUUCCUUCGGAGGGGUAUGUACCAUUUCAUUCUCUUCUGUUUUCCAAAGCUUUGCCCGCAUGGUUUAUGAGCUUCUUCAAAGAGGACUUGGGCUUCCUACACAAUCUAUAAGGGCAACGCGCCCCACGCGUGUGACGUGCGAGAGACGCGAUGGACGCGCCUUGCUCUUACUGUGCAGGUCCCGAGAGCGUGGGGGCCACUCGCGCCCAGUCGUGUUGAGGACAUAGAAUCAGCCGCUGGAGGGGCCGCGGGCCGCGCGGGCCCUUCCCGCUCUCGGUCUCACCCUAAGGGCUAAGGCGACCGAGAAAGCCCGGUACUCCAGUAGGUAAUGGGGCGGCGCCCCGCGGGCUGCAGGCGGGAGGGGUCUCAGCGCUGCCCGAGCCCCUUGCUGCCAGCGGCCGCCCCGGGCGCGUGCUUCCCGAGGGCGAGUGGCCUAGAAAUGUCCAGGGGAUCGGAAGCUUCCCCCGCCUUUGCCGGUACGAAAUCUCUCCACCCUCAGGCUCCCAAAGGCGGGUGAUGGGGUAGGAAUUGUCUUACUGGGCUACGCAGGCUCCUUCGUCGCCCUUCGCCCUCCUCCGGGCGUUCCUUUGGCGCCCGGGCUGAGCAGAGCGCUUAGCAUCUCUCCCCCGCACCCCGCCUCCACGCAACGUGGAGAGAACCCACUGCCCCCUCUCCCUCCCCCACUUCUCCUUUCCUGUACGACCCCCGCCCCCUUGCUUUCGUUAGCCAGGCCUGCUACGUUUAUCUGAUAAUUGAGUUAUUAAAAGAUUUGGUUUCCUUGGGCCCAUAAAUCAAUAAACAGUGGGAUUAACUCAAGAGUUUGCCUUUUAAGUCAAGGGAAACGUUUUAAAGCAAGCCCCUUUGAGUCUUGUUUCCAAACUAAACAGGUGAGUUGCAGCUCUCCCCCCACCCCACCCCUGCACUCUUAAGACACUGUAUCCAAGCCGCGUGCCCACUCCUAAGUGCCCGGUCCCAAACCAAAAGAGCUAAAGGUAGAAAGCAAGAGUCAGGACGUGGCAGCGCUGCCCUCACACUUUCCGCUCUGCAAGUUCCUUUGGAGGUUCUAAAGGUCUCCUGACCAUUCUCUGUCCAGUCCUGCCUCCUCUUGCACGUAUUGUGGCUCUCCUGGAAGCAAAGAGAGAAGAAAAGGGCUGUUCUGGGUGAGGAUUCUCCCCUAGUUAGCUCGCUUUCUUUUUUCCUUCUCCCUGGCACCACAUCCUUAGCUUUCUCCAGCCCUACAUAAGGAACUGAAGAACCUUUCAAAGACCUGGCUGUUUUAUUUUCUUUGGCCAAGGAAACCACUUUUUCUCAAGCAACUAUUUUAUAUCCUAUGAAAACUUCGGUCGAAUGGAAAACCUGAAAUACCCCAAACUUAUCUACACACUGUUCCUCCGGUACAAAGCCUUACUUAAAAGGGCAACUCGUCCCUACUUAGAGUGUUUAUAGGGAGUUUGUCCUCACAUUUGAUAUGCUGUAUGCGUAAUACAUUCUGUGGAAAGGAAUUAACCUUAAACCAUCUGAUGUUGCCUCAAGAGCCCAAACAGUGUUUCCCCUCCUGUGCUGAUGUAUGUUAAAUGAUCAGGUUAAAAAAAAAUAACAAAAUUCGUUUUGUUUUCUUUUAAAAAGUAGAAAGAACACUAUCCUUCUUGAAAUGCCAAAUCGACUCCUCUGUUGAGUUGGUCUCUAAUUCACUAACAUUGUUUUUGACAACAAUCGAGAAAUAUCAAUCUAUUGACUCUUCACGAGAAGAGCUCUGGAGGGUAUCCAUGUUAAGUUUGUAUAUAUUUAUUUAUGCUUAAUUUAAUGGGAAUGUGUAAAUAUGGUGAGCAGGUAGUUUGGGAUUAUUUAUCUGUGAAUCUAUACCUCUGUGAAUGGGUGGUUAAAAAAAAAAAAACAAACCGCUUGACCCUAGGUAGAAUCCUAUCUGAAUUUUUCUGUUCUUUAUAGACAAGCUGUUAUGGUAAUGGGUAGAAAUUGGUUUAUUGUCCAGUGUUGACCUGAUUUACAUAAAUAAAAAGAUUGUUGUGUU